UCUAGCUGUUAUUUUUUAAUGCACCAACUAAGCCCCUCUGUUUUUUUCUUUGUAACACAUCAAAGCCAUAAGCUGAGCGAGCAGGCCCCCCUCUUCCAGCAGGCCGGGUGCCUCCAGCAGGCGGAGCUUGUUAUGAUGCUGAGCAGAGGGAAGCUGCUGGGUAGCAGGUGGAGACAGCGAUGCGCUUCUCUUAGGGAGGAUCAGAGAGAGCUGGAGAGGACACGCUUGUCGUUGGAGAGACACGGGGAAAAAUUCACAGCCCAAAGGAGACUGCCUCCUGUUCUGUUCGUGGUCGGGAGGCGCGGAUUUGCGCACACACAGAAAGAGAGGCUGACGGGCUGCGGAGCGCUCCAUCUGUCUCCGUCGUGUCGCUGGAGGCUGCGGCGAGGUGAUGCUCCAUCUUUGGAUCGACGGCCGGAGCCGUUUUUCCUGAAAGCCUGCUAUUAUGCAGGGAGCAAGGGAGACGGCGAGGAUUAAAGGGGAACGAAGCACCGGUUCAGGAAACAUUUUGCACUCUGGCAGUGUGAGCCAACUAUGGUUGACCCCUCAGAUGUUGAGGAGCAGAAUAAGUGUAAAGGUCCACAACUUGACACACCAGCUGUGGCCGCCGAAGACCCUCGACUACCAGAACCGGUUGACGGGACGACAACUGAGGAGGAAGGCGAUGCCGGUUUCGAGACACCGCCCACUGGCAGCUCAGAGCCCAGCCCCUGCCACACUGCAUCUCCGGCGGGGCCACAGGGCAGCACACAGGAGCCAGCGCCUCAGCAACCACAGACUCAGACGGACACAGAUUUGUCCCCCAAACUGCACCUGGACCUGUACAACUUUGACUCGCCUGAGGCGGAGGGCAGUCGCUAUGUGUUGACAAGCCCCCGCUCACUGGAGGCGUGUGCUCGAUGUGGAGUCAAACCCGUGGAGCUGCUGCCUCGCCUGCUAACAGACUUCAUCCGGGAGGCUCCUGGGCGGUCGAUGCGUGUCGCCACAGGGCUCUUCGAAGUCUACGAGAAGGACAGACAUGGCAAACUCAGGCACUGCAGGGAAGAGAGGGAGCGGAUCGUUAGGGAAGAGAAAAGAAGGAUUCUGCAGGCAACUGUCAACGGCAGCACGCCUUCAUCCUCCGUGGAUAAAGUCCCAUCUGGGAUCAGUGUGCCCUCCAAAUCGGGCACAGCGACCUCUAGCUCAGUCCCUGAUGUGGGAGUUUCCUUUAAAACUGCAUCAUUGGGUGCAACUCUUCCAUCGAAAGCCCCCACCUAUACUCUCAGUACCUCACCAAAAUCCAUGCAGCCUAGAACUGUCCCAUCUCCAAAGUCUGGACCCAAACCAUCCCUAGCCCCGAAGGGUCCACUCCAAGGUUCAACCAAAGCUUCAGUCUCCUCCUCAUAUGAGCAUACAAAAACCACGCACCCACUUUCGUCCGGCCCCCCACCGGUGCUCAAGAAAGCCACUGGGGGUAAAUCUUCAAACACUUUCCCAAGAUCAACACCGAAACCUCCCUCUUUCCCCAGAGCCAACUCAACGUUAACAUCGUCUGUGACAAAGCCCGCCAUUCAGCGCUCCAGUGCGCCUUUGAACGGCGUAACAAGAGGGCUGUUCUCUCAGCACAACGGGCAUCUUGGACUGCAAUCCAAGACCCGAGGGAAAAGCCACUCCCUGGAGUCUCUACAGCGAAGGAUGGAUCCGGUCUGCUGCUCCACCUCCACGACCACGACGACAUGCACCUCAUCCGAGUCUGGGGCUUCCUCUUCUUACAGUUGGGACGGUGCGCGAGACCACUGGGCUAAAAUGUCCAGCCCUCGGGCUCGCACCAUGGCCACCUUCAACUCCCUGAUGGGCCGCAGCCUCAGCCUCGGAGACCUCAGCCACUCCCCUCAGACAACACAGAAGGUGGAGCGCAUCGUGAAGGAGGUUAAGCGUCGAGGCCUCAAAGCUGUAUCCGAGCGCGACCGCAAGAUUGCCGCCUUGAUGCUUGCCAGAUACCAGGAGGAAGACAUCAUGAGUCAGACUCGCUAUGUCGCUCACCUUCAAUGGGACAGCGAGCGCCGGAUGGAGGAGCUGCGGCGGGAGCAAGAGGACAGGGAGAAGCAGCGGGCCGUGCUCCAGUGCCAGCGAGUGUGGCAGACCAAGGUUUCGAUACGUCAGCAGAAGAUCAGCCGGCAGGAGCGCGAUUCAGCCGCUGCGAAACUGCGACAGGCUGAGGAACACGAGGAGCGUUGGAAGGAGCUUGCGGAGCAGCAGGAGCGCAACCGUCUGCUGCGGCUACAGCAGGCGGCGCGAGAGGAGAAGCACAAGAAAGCUCUUCAGGAACAGAACCUGAAGGCCCUGGAAGAGGAGAGGGCCGCCAUGCUGGAGCAAGAGAGGCUGCUCCUGGAGGAGAAGCUCACCAUUGCCGAGUUGAAGAGGCAGGAGCGGGAGCACCAGGUCCAGGAGGAGAGACGAGGUCUGAACAAAGCAGAGAGACGACGCCACGCCGCCCUCACACAAGAAAUCGCCCGUAGGGAACAGGAAGAGAGGGAUGAAGCUAAAAGGGCAGCGGAGGAGAAGCUCACCCGCUCCCUCGAGAACUACGAGCAGAUAGUUGAACGUCGAGGGCAGGAGCUGAAAGAGAAAGCCAAGCGUGAGGAGAAGCAGAUCCAGAAGGCCCGUAAGGCAGCCGAGAAGCGCGAGAAGCAGCAGCAGCAGCUGCUGGAGGCCCGCGUCAGGGAGGCCGCGAAACGCGCCCAGCAGGCCGCCAUGGUGGCUGAGGAGAAGGCCAAGGAGAAAGCCAAGCGGGCCGUCCAGAGUCGGCAGGAGAAGGAGAGACUUCAGAAGCUCAACAGGCAGCGUGUGGAGGAGGAGGAGAGGCAGAGGCGCCUGGAGCUCCUACAGUCCAUCGAGAGGAAGCUGGAGAAGAGCGAGCAGAUCUUCAAGGAGAAGAAGGCUGUUUUGGAGAGUGCCCGUUCUGUGGCUCGGGCGUCCUUUCAUGUGCGGGACAAAGUGCGGGAGGAGACCAACAUGCGCACUUUUGAUAAGAUGGCCCUGGAAGCUCAGCUCAAAGCGAGUCUCGAUGAAAAGUAAACCCAUGGCUUUGUUGUAGACCCCUGGUCACAUCAUUGACUCCUGCCUUCAUCACGCAACAGGCUACCCUUCUUCUACAAACACCGGUGUUUAUUCUUAACUACAUAUCAUUACCCAUCAGCGGUUUUAUUAUACUUUUAAACCACUUUUAUCAUAGAUCCCAUUAAAGUGAAGAAAUCAUUGCUGUAUUAGGAAAAUAAACCAUAUCAGUAGUUAUUUCGUACCAGUAAAGCUCCCGAGGCAGACUGAACCAGCUUGAUGUUGUGGACAGAACUUUUUUUAUUUUAUUUAUUUUGUGUGACGGGGUGGCUGUUUGUUAUGGUUUGGGCUUUUUGCGUGUGUUUUUUUUUUUUUUUUUUGUGGCAACGCAUCAUCUUUUUGUCCUGAGCUGCGUCUUAUUUCAGCCACUGGACUGGAAGCUGUGCUGGACUGAAAAGAGUCAUUGUUUAUCUGGAAGCACAACUCCACGACAUCUGCAGGGGCUUUCAAAGGGAACACUCCUAUUAGCGAGAAAGCAGGCUGGAGGAAAAACUGAAACACAAAUGGUCCCGGGCCAUCGCAAACAAAUGACCGGCCCUCUUUGUACGAACAUGGACAGAGGCGCGGGCAGCUUGGAAGCUCAGCCUUGUCCGUCCUUUCAUUGCUGACAGUGCUGUGCUGGGAGGUGCAAAGGACAUUGGGAUAUUGCACCACAAGCAUACCUCCUUCAAAUUCCCUUCAAUGACUCUCUUUUUGCUGUUCACGUUAAAUUACAGUUAACAUUGAAGCUUUCUGAGAGAAAACCUCCUCUUGACUCCCAGCACCGUCCUCCUGCCUCUAUCGCAGCAUCACGGUGACCAUCUUAUAGUCCGCAGGUCCUGGAAAUGAAUGAGAGCAGAGCUUUCUCCAAAGCCGGCAGUUCUCUUCUGUGACUUAAAUGCAAAUAUAUACGUUAUUUAUACAUUUUUUUAUUCUGGAUUAUUAUCAUCAUAAGAGGCUGCUGAGAGAGACUAUUGGAAGAAGCAGCUGCCUUCCUGCAUUAAGGAAUCCAAUGUAAACGGUUCAAAAACAGCUUUAUUCACAUCAAAACAUGCUGAUCAAUCUGAUCCU